rnacentral:rRNA from 1 species
ACUCCUACGGGAGGCAGCAGUGGGGAAUAUUGGACAAUGGGGGCAACCCUGAUCCAGCAAUGCCGCGUGUGUGAAGAAGGCCUUCGGGUUGUAAAGCACUUUCAUUGAGGAGGAAAAGCUGUGCGUUAAUAGCGUACAGCCGUGACGUUACUCAAAGAAGAAGCACCGGCUAACUCCGUGCCAGCAGCCGCGGUAAUACGGAGGGUGCGAGCGUUAAUCGGAAUUACUGGGCGUAAAGCGCAUGCAGGUGGUUUGUUAAGUCAGAUGUGAAAGCCCGGGGCUCAACCUCGGAAUUGCAUUUGAAACUGGCAAACUAGAGUACUGUAGAGGGGGGUAGAAUUUCAGGUGUAGCGGUGAAAUGCGUAGAGAUCUGAAGGAAUACCGGUGGCGAAGGCGGCCCCCUGGACAGAUACUGACACUCAGAUGCGAAAGCGUGGGGAGCAAACAGGAUUAGAUACCCUGGUAGGAUAGCGU